GAUGAACGCUGGCGGCGUGCCUAAUUCAUGCAAGUCGAGCGAACGGACGAGAAGCUUGCUUUUCUGAUGUUAGCGGCGGACGGGUGAGUAACACGUGGAUAACCUACCUAUAAGACUGGGAUAACUUCGGGAAACCGGAGCUAAUACCGGAUAAUAUUUUGAACCGCAUGGUUCAAAAGUGAAAGACGGUCUUGCUGUCACUUAUAGAUGGAUCCGCGCUGCAUUAGCUAGUUGGUAAGGUAACGGCUUACCAAGGCAACGAUGCAUAGCCGACCUGAGAGGGUGAUCGGCCACACUGGAACUGAGACACGGUCCAGACUCCUACGGGAGGCAGCAGUAGGGAAUCUUCCGCAAUGGGCGAAAGCCUGACGGAGCAACGCCGCGUGAGUGAUGAAGGUCUUCGGAUCGUAAAACUCUGUUAUUAGGGAAGAACAUAUGUGUAAGUAACUGUGCACAUCUUGACGGUACCUAAUCAGAAAGCCACGGCUAACUACGUG
rnacentral:rRNA from 1 species